UUUUCUUCUUUCUUCUUUCUUUCACACGCCUGGUGGGCGGUGCCACCCGAUCACAAGGGCUGGCAAGGCUUUCGGAGCCUGGGGAGCGGACACCCGCACAAAGGGUGGCCAGGCGGCCCGGUCCGGGUUUUUUCUUCUUUUCUUCUUUCUUUCACACGCCUGGUGGGCGGUGCCACCCGAUCACAAGGGCUGGCAAGGCUUUCGGAGCCUGGGGAGCGGACACCCGCACAAAGGGUGGCCAGGCGGCCCGGUCCGGGUUUUUUCUUCUUUUCUUCUUUCUUUCACGCGCCUGGUGGGCGGUGCCACCCGAUAACAAGGGCUGGCAGGGCUUUCGGAGCCUGGGGAGCGGACACCCGCACAAAGGG
ensembl:lncRNA